rnacentral:other from 1 species
AGCUGGCUGUUUGACGCGAUACGGUUUUACAAACUCCUAGGGCCGAUGUCUUUCGCAUAGGGAGCCGUCGCUGAGAAGGAUCGUGGUCCUUUUCAUAUGGCACCCACCUGGUUUACCGGGCCGUAGCGAAUAAUAUAACCACCGGUCAAAAUGGCUGGCUU